UGGGAGGUGAGUGUCUAAUGGCCUUAGC
rnacentral:piRNA from 1 species